rnacentral:rRNA from 1 species
UUAAAUGGCCGCAGUAUUUUGACUGUGCAAAGGUAGCAUAAUAAUUAGUUUCUUAAUUAGAAGCUAGAAUGAAAGGUUGAACGAAAUAAUAACUGUCUCUUUAUAAAUUUAUUAGAAUUUUAUUUUUAAGUUAAAAAGCUUAAAUAUAUUUAAAAGACGAGAAGACCCUAUAGAGUUUUAUAUAAUUUUUUUUUAAAAAAAAAAUUUAAUUUUUAAUUAUAAAAAUUUUAUAAAAAAUUAUAUUUAGUUGGGGUGAUUGAAAAAUUUAAUAAACUUUUUUUUAAUAAAACAUUUUUUUAUGAUUAAUUGAUCCAUUACUAAUGAUUAAAAGAUUAAAUUACCUUAGGGAUAACAGCGUAAUUUCUUUUUAGAGUUCAAAUCGAUAAAGAAGUUUGCGACCUCGAUGUUGGAUUAAAAUAAAUUUUUGGUGUAGAAGCUAAAAUAUUAGGUCUGUUCGACCUUUAAAAUUUUACAUGAUCUGAGUUUAAACCGGUGUAAGCCAGGUUGGUUUUUAUCUUUAAAUAAUUAAUAUAUUUUAGUACGAAAGGACCAAAUAUUAAAAAAAAUUUUUAAAUAUUGAAUAAUAUUAAUUU